rnacentral:rRNA from 1 species
UCAAAAGAUAAAAAGGGAAAGAUUUAUUGGUAAGAGAUUAGCCUGUAUUGUAUCAGUUAGUUGGUGGGGUAAUGGCCUACCAAGACGAUGACGCAUAACUGGUUUGAGAGGAUGAUCAGUCACACUGGAACUGAGACACGGUCCAGACUCCUACGGGAGGCAGCAGUGGGGAAUAUUGCACAAUGGACGAAAGUCUGAUGCAGCAACGCCGCGUGGAGGAUGACACAUUUCGGUGCGUAAACUCCUUUUAUAUAAGAAGAUAAUGACGGUAUUAUAUGAAUAAGCACCGGCUAACUCCGUGCCAGCAGCCGCGGUAAUACGGAGGGUGCAAGCGUUACUCGGAAUCACUGGGCGUAAAGAGCGUGUAGGCGGAUUGAUAAGUUUGAAGUGAAAUCCUAUAGCUUAACUAUAGAACUGCUUUGAAAACUGUUAAUCUAGAAUGUGGGAGAGGUAGAUGGAAUUUCUGGUGUAGGGGUAAAAUCCGUAGAGAUCAGAAGGAAUACCGAUUGCGAAGGCGAUCUACUGGAACAAUAUUGACGCUGAGACGCGAAAGCGUGGGGAGCAAACAGGAUUAGAUACCCUGGUAGUCCACGCCCUAAACGAUGUACACUAGUUGUUGUGAGGCUCGACCUUGCAGUAAUGCAGUUAACACAUUAAGUGUACCGCCUGGGGAGUACGGUCGCAAGAUUAAAACUCAAAGGAAUAGACGGGGACCCGCACAAGCGGUGGAGCAUGUGGUUUAAUUCGACGAUACACGAAGAACCUUACCUGGACUUGACAUAGUAAGAAUGAUUUAGAGAUAGAUUAGUGUCUGCUUGCAGAAACUUGCAUACAGGUGCUGCACGGCUGUCGUCAGCUCGUGUCGUGAGAUGUUGGGUUAAGUCCCGCAACGAGCGCAACCCUCGUCCUUAGUUGCUAACAGUUCGGCUGAGAACUCUAAGGAGACUGCCUACGCAAGUAGGAGGAAGGUGAGGAUGACGUCAAGUCAUCAUGGCCCUUACGUCCAGGGCUACACACGUGCUACAAUGGGGUAUACAAAGAGCAGCAAUACGGUGACGUGGAGCAAAUCUCAAAAAUGCCUCCCAGUUCGGAUUGUAGUCUGCAACUCGACUACAUGAAGUUGGAAUCGCUAGUAA